AAAACCCAAAACUUCAAACGUAAAUAAAAGGAUGUGCAGUUCACCAGAAGAAAAUCAAACUUUCAGAACGGGUGGCCACUUCGAAUUCCCUCAUAGCUCCAAGCCCACUAUGGUUGGGGAUUUCCUGCGUGGAUGAAAAUAAAAGGGUGAGUUUGGGGAAACUCAGUGUGUAAGGAAAACCCAUUCAAAGCCCAAGUCAGCUCAAGCCUAUUGGGCCUAAGCCCAUUCAGGUAACAGUGGUACUGGACCAGAGCCCUUUUCAGAUUACAAUAAACUGGGCCUUAGCCCCUUAUUCAGAUAACAGUAUGGCCCAUAGGCCCAUUUCAAAAUACAUGCAACAUCAAUAACAUAUGCAAACCCAUUUGGGGAGACUACUCAACCCACUAACCACUACACUCCACCCGUACCAGCCAUACGCUCCAUGUGGGGAUAGCUCAACCCACCCAGCCCAACACUCCACAGUUGCUGCAUUACUGCUCAGUUAACAGUAAAUUGAGGCAAAGCCUCUAGUACGUGGACAAGCCACUUUCAGUACUUCCUCCGUCAAUAUCCCAAUCCCAUGAAUCAGAUAAUAACAACAUGGCAUGCAGUAAAUAACAACAGUCAAACAUGCAUUUAAGUCAAUUUAACCCUAGGGGUAUUUCGGUAAUUUAUCUUCUAGGGGUAAAACUGUAAAUUUUCCACUUUUAAAGGUAUUUCAGUAUUUUAUCUAUUUUAGGGUUUUUCAUGCAUAUUCCUACCUUUCACGUACUACAGAAUCACGUAUCGAGGGUUCUUACCGAAUUAGGCCCGUUGGCCCAUCAUUCCAAUUUUGGCCCAUUAAGCCCAAAAAUAUUGAGGGCACAGAAAUCAUGCACUUUACAGUCCAAACAUUGCAGCUUACCAAAAACAUUAAUCGAUUUACCUCACGAGCAUUCGCACACUCGCAAAUCUACAAAUACCGGUUUUCGGCAUUUCUGAUUUUCGACUUUUGCCGAUCUAGACUAAGAAAGAGGGUGUUAGUUACACACCUGUUUGUGACGAUAUGCUGACGAGAUCCACACACGAACUGCCUACAAUUUGAUUACUAACACGUUAAUCUAACUAUUCAAAUACGAACUACGUAUUAACCCCUUACAAUAUUCGGCCAACCACACCUACAGAUCAUAGUAAGCUUAUAAGAAAACAAUAAGCAACUCAUUAACAAAUUUUUGUCAAUGUUUACCACAUAAUCAUAAUUUCACUGCAAGCUGUCUUCCUGAGCAACAUUCACUAAAUUAUUUAUAACUGGAGCUACGAAACUCCAAAUCAAGUUCCGUUAAUUUUCUUUGAAAAUAGACUCAUAUAUCUUAUAUCCAUAAAAUUUUCAGAAUUUUUGGUUUGGCCAAUCAAUACCAGAUUUUUCUCAAACUUUCGCAUGUUUCACUGUUUGACUAAUCUGACCACUCUUCAUUACGAAUCAAAUUUCUCAUUUUACAGAAUUUAAAAUAUGUUCUCAUUUAUUCCAUUUGAAACUAGACUCAUUAAUAUUUAAUUACAUAAUUUAUUCAGCUUCUAAUUCAUCUCCCACAAUUUAUGGUGAUUUUCCAAAGUCACGUUACUGCUGCUGUCCCAAGCAGAUUUAUUACCAAAUUCACUCUUUCACACAUAACUUGCAUGCAUAUUUUUUAAACAUGUAUAUCACCAAUCAGUCAUCACAUAUCUAUGAUUUUACUUAAGUAUAAUCACCAUUUCAUUAUUUUUCUUACCUUAGAUACUAAAAACCAAAAUAUGCUUCAAGAGUUAAGGUAGAAUCAAGAAGAACUCAUGAACCUCAAAAUAAAAGCAAACUACCAUGAACUUACCUUCAAUUUUUCUUCCCCAAGUGACCGAACAUUCAAGAGCUUUCUCCUCUCCUUUCUCUUCUCUAACUUUAG
rnacentral:lncRNA from 1 species